rnacentral:rRNA from 1 species
AGCCGAUGCUUAUUCUUCAGGUACACGUCAUUUUGUUCCUCCCUGAAAAAAGAGGUUUACAACCCAUAGGCCGUCAUCCCUCACGCGAGAUUGCUCCGUCAGGCUUUCGCCCAUUGCGGAAAAUUCCCCA